GAUAGCCUAGCCUCGAUCCCAGGCCGAGUUUUCGCUUUUAUAACGGUUAGGCGAACAACUGGGCCUGGUACUAGUUGUCUGCGCAUGCGUCAGUCGUUCGUCAGAUUCUGACGAAUGGAUAUUCUCGUUCACUUUUGUGACAUUUAUAUUCGUGUACUAUCGUGUACUAGAAGUCAGUUCCCGUUUUAUCAUUAUUGGAAUCGAUUGGAAUGGCUCUUAGCUGAAGCUUCUCUCUUCUCUGAAGCUUAUUCUGAAGACUGAACAACAAGGGAAGAGGUAUAAAGCUUUGUCAAGCUUGUUAAGGUCAGAUAUUUUUGUGUGGGCCCUAUGGCCGGCUAUGCUAUCAAGUCUUGUUCAUGUUUGGCAAGAAUGUAGGUAGACUAUAGUUUCAUCAUUAAUAUGGUGGAUCAAGUGAAGAGUGUGAGCUAGAGAACUUGGUGCUGCCAUCAUCAGCUCGUCGACAAUGACACUAUAACCGAGAAAUUUAAUAUGUAUAGAUCUACACGUAUUUAAAAUGUCUACUUCUCUGCAAUGGCUAAUAUCCAGCUAUCCCAACAGUGCUCCUCUUGGCUAUACUAACGGACGAGACUGGACAGUUUGAGACACAGGACUGGAGUAUGACCUGCUCAUUCGAGCGUUGCUGGGUAGCUCAGAGACAUCAAGAGAAUCUACAUUUUCUCAAGCAAUGAGUUACGAGUUGGGGCCUAGAAUCAGAGAAGUCCAGCAGCCUGCUGAAUCUUUUUGAAACGUAAUUUGAAGGCAUUCAAUCAUCCUGAAGUUGCCCUGGGUCACUGUAAUUGUGCUGCAGCACAACUGGCAACUCCCCAGGCCUUUGUGAAGCAGCUCCCUAUGUGCAUCUUUUGUGUACUCACUCUGUGCAUUUUCUGUGUAGAAAUUUCUAUUAUUGAUUUAUUAAAUAUUUUUGCCGACCACAAA